rnacentral:rRNA from 1 species
AUUGAACGCUGGCGGCAUGCUUUACACAUGCAAGUCGAACGGUAACAGGCCGCAAGGUGCUGACGAGUGGCGAACGGGUGAGUAAUGCAUCGGAACGUGACCAGUCGUGGGGGAUAACGCAGCGAAAGCUGCGCUAAUACCGCAUACGAUCUAUGGAUGAAAGCGGGGGACCGAAAGGCCUCGCGCGAUUGGAGCGGACGAUGUCAGAUUAGGUAGUUGGUGGGGUAAAGGCCCACCAAGCCAACGAUCUGUAGCUGGUCUGAGAGGACGACCAUCCACACUGGGGCUGGGACACGGCCCAGACGCCUACGGGAGGCAGCAGUGGGGAAUUUUGGACAAUGGGCGCAAUCCUGAUCCAGCAAUGCCACGUGCAGGAAGAAGGCCUUCGGGUUGUAAACUGCUUUUGUACGGAACGAAACGGUCCUGGUUAAUACCUGGGGCUAAUGACGGUACCGUAAGAAUAAGCACCGGCUAACUACGUGCCAGCCGCCGCCGUAAUAC